rnacentral:ncRNA from 1 species
GCUUAUUCUCAGGGCGGGGCGAAAUUCCCCACCGGCGGUAAAUCAGUUUUCACUGAAAGCCCGCGAGCGCUUCAGCCCCUGGCUGAAGGUCAGCAGAUCCGGUGUAAUUCCGGGGCCGACGGUUAGAGUCCGGAUGGGAGAGGGUAACG